UACGGAGGGUGCAAGCGUUGUCCGGAAUCACUGGGCGUAAAGGGCGCGUAGGCGGCUCAUGAAGGCUGUGGUGAAAGUCCGGGGCUCAACCUCGGAUCGGCCGUGGCGACUCGUGGGCUGGAGCACUGUAGAGGCGGGUGGAAUUCCGGGUGUAGCGGUGGAAUGCGUAGAGAUCCGGAAGAACACCAGUGGCGAAGGCGGCCCGCUGGCAGUGGCUGACGCUGAGGCGCGACAGCGUGGGGGAGCAAACAGG
rnacentral:rRNA from 1 species